rnacentral:sRNA from 1 species
GCUGUGUGACGCACACCCUCAGCAGGAGACCCCUGUGGCCUCUGAGCCCACCCCUGCCUGGGCCCAGCGCGUGCUGUGAUGGCCAGCCACCUCAACGCCACCUUUACGGGCAUCCUAGCAGCGUCCUCAGCUGGGGGGCUUCGCCACCUUCUCCUCCUGCUUCCCCGGCCUCUGCGAGGGCAAGCCUGCUGCCCUGCUACCCAUGAGCCUCUCCCAGCCCUGCCUGCCUGUGCCCAGCGUGGGCCUGACCCGCAUCCUGCCUCAUCUCUACCUGGGCUCGCAGAAAGACGUCCUAAACAAGGAUCUGAUGACGCAAAAUGGAAUAAGCUACGUCCUCAACGCCAGCAACUCCUGCCCCAAGCCUGACUUCAUCUGCGAGAGCCGCUUCAUGCGGGUCCCCAUCAACGACAACUACUGUGAAAAACUGCUGCCCUGGCUGGACAAGUCCAUCGAGUUCAUCGAUAAAGCCAAGCUCUCCAGCUGCCAAGUCAUCGUCCACUGUCUGGCUGGCAUCUCCCGCUCUGCCACCAUCGCCAUCGCCUACAUCAUGAAGACCAUGGGCAUGUCCUCCGACGACGCCUACAGGUUCGUGAAGGACAGGCGCCCGUCCAUCUCGCCCAACUUCAACUUCCUGGGC